rnacentral:rRNA from 2 species
GGGAUUGCCCUAGUAACGGCGAGUGAAGCGGCAACAGCUCAAAUUUGAAAUCUGGCGCAAGCCCGAGUUGUAAUUUGUAGAGGAUGCUUCGGGGCAGCGACCGGUCUAAGUUCCUUGGAACAGGACGUCAGAGAGGGUGAGAAUCCCGUAUGUGACCGGCCCGCGCCCUGCACGUAGCUCCUUCGACGAGUCGAGUUGUUUGGGAAUGCAGCUCUAAAUGGGAGGUAAAUUUCUUCUAAAGCUAAAUACCGGCCAGAGACCGAUAGCGCACAAGUAGAGUGAUCGAAAGAUGAAAAGUACUUUGGAAAGAGAGUUAAAAAGCACGUGAAAUUGUUGAAAGGGAAGCGCCUGCAACCAGACUUCGCGGCAGUGUUCCGCCGGUCUUCUGACCGGUUCAUUCUCUGCCGCGAGGCCAUCAUCGUCUGGGCCCGCCGGAUAAGACCUUGGGAAUGUAGCUCACCUCCGGGGGAGUGUUAUAGCCCAGGGUGAUGCGGCGCGGCUCGGGCGAGGUCCGCGCUUCGGCAAGGAUGAUGGCGUAAUGGUUGUCGGCGGCCCGUCUUGAAACACGGACCAAGGAGUCUAACAUCUAUGCGAGUGUUCGGGUGUCAAACCCCUACGCGUAAUGAAAGUGAACGGAGGUGGGAACCGCAAGGUGCACCAUCGACCGAUCCUGAUGUCCUCGGAUGGAUUUGAGUAAGAGCAUAGCUGUUGGGACCCGAAAGAUGGUGAACUAUGCCUGAAUAGGGUGAAGCCAGAGGAAACUCUGGUGGAGGCUCGCAGCGGUUCUGACGUGCAAAUCGAUCGUCAAAUUUGGGUAUAGGGGCG